AAAACUGUUAACCUAGAGUAUGGGAGAGGUAGAUGGAAUUUCUGGUGUAGGGGUAAAAUCCGUAGAGAUCAGAAGGAAUACCGAUUGCGAAGGCGAUCUACUGGAACAUUACUGACGCUGAGACGCGAAAGCGUGGGGAGCAAACAGGAUUAGAUACCCUGGUAGUCCACGCCCUAAACGAUGUACACUAGUUGUUGCUAUACUAGAUAUAGCAGUAAUGCAGUUAACACAUUAAGUGUACCGCCUGGGGAGUACGGUCGCAAGAUUAAAACUCAAAGGAAUAGACGGGGACCCGCACAAGCGGUGGAGCAUGUGGUUUAAUUCGACGAUACGCGAAGAACCUUACCUGGACUUGACAUAGUAAGAAUAUUUAAGAGAUUAGAUAGUGUCUGCUUGCAGAAACUUGCAUACAGGUGCUGCACGGCUGUCGUCAGCUCGUGUCGUGAGAUGUUGGGUUAAGUCCCGCAACGAGCGCAACCCUCGUCGUUAGUUGCUAACAGUUCGGCUGAGAACUCUAACGAGACUGCCUGGGUAACCAGGAGGAAGGUGAGGACGACGUCAAGUCAUCAUGGCCCUUACGUCCAGGGCUACACACGUGCUACAAUGGGGCAUACAAAGAGCAGCGAUACCGCGAGGUGGAGCAAAUCUUGAAAAUGUCUCCCAGUUCGGAUAGUAGUCUGCAACUCGACUACUUGAAGUUGGAAUCGCUAGUAAUCGUAGAUCAGCAAUGCUACGGUGAAUACGUUCCCGGGCCUUGUACACACCGCCC
rnacentral:rRNA from 1 species